rnacentral:lncRNA from 1 species
AGGUAUCGCGCCUUAGUCAAAGACCACCCGAGUUGGGCUUAUAUUUUGUUAGUAGUUUACCCCUUAUAUAUCAUCUUUUGUAUUGGAUGAUUUAAAGUGUUGAUGUAUUAAGCAAAGAAAGAAAAGAAUGUAAAGCUCUCUUUUGAGGUAAAUAUGAUGUAAGAAAGAAAUGAUGAAAUGAUGUAAUGAAGUGUAAGAAAUCGUAAAUGUACAAGUUGGAUGUAAUGUAUAUGAUCUAAAUUGAAUCAUAGUACAAAAUGAAUGCUAGUUUUCCUAUCUUUCACUCGUGGCUAUUGCUUACCCUCGUGUAAGCCGUAUUUGUAUGUUUCCGCUAGUGCACUUCUUUUUGAAAAUGUACAUGUGAUGAGGCUUGGGCGGACAGGGAAAACUCUGUCCGUUCGGCGUCUGUUUGACGUGCUCGGGCCGGCCCAAAUUGGUAUCGGUCCCGGGGCGUGACACGUACUACAUAAAGCACGGAAGGUAGAGAAAAGUAUAUGAAACAAACUUGAUCAAAAUGAUAAAAAAAAACUAAUAGAUUUAAUCAAUCUCAUGUAGAAGUACAUGUAGAGCACCUAUCAAUUACUAAAAGCUGCAGUUGAGUGAACAAAUGUCCAGAAUAAUAGCGCUUUCUAGGGCUAAUUUAUGGCUAAAAAUUUGCAUAGGCAUCAAGACUAUGCAAAUUUGAGAUUGAGAGCACCGAAUCGAGAGGCGACACCAUCGAGGGCUUGGAUUGGAUCGCCGGGUCGAGGAUCGCCGGAUCGAGGAUCUUCCUUGCGGGGCCAAGAAGUUCGGGGGUGAAAGCGAGGGCGAUUUAGGGAUAGGAUCGGAGCUUGGAGAGGACACGGAGGGAGAAGGAGGAGAGGAUCGAUGAGUAGAGGUGAAGGAGAGGGGGAGUGCUCGAGCUCAGAGAGAGGGGUUGCGGGUGUUAGGGCACUCCUUCCUAAGGUGCUAGGGUUUCGAGCUUGAGGGAGUGGUGCCAUUGGAGGGAGGCGGAGAGGAGGUGAUGGCGGUGGAGAGGGGUGGGAUCGGGUUAGGUUGGGGUGGGAUCGGGUUUGGGUUAUUAUUAGAAUUCCUAAUUGGAUUUAGAAUAGGCAUAUUUAAUACAUUAAUAUUGGUCGGUAAAAAUUUAUAAUUAAAAAUAAUUGCCGCUAAAGUAUAAUUAGAUAUUAAUCAAUAACAGCUAUUUUAUAAUCGCCGCUAUUAAUUUGCCACUAAAGGCAUAUUUUGAUGUAGUGGCAAUGGGAGCCGCUACAUCAGGAAUAUUCCCUCUGAAAUGAUCAACACGAUGAAAAUGUUGAUCUAAAGCUACAACCUCGGCGUCCAGAGAUCGUUGCCGAGCCAAAUAAGGAGAAAGCUGAGAUGAUAAUGUUGCUACAAAACAUUUAAUAUUAGGAGUAAUAUCUGAUUGAUCGGCUAAAUCAAACAAAAGGGCAUAUAGCCGAUCAAAUUGUUCUAGGUUCUGAGCUAGAUUAAGGACACCAGUGCUAUAUAUCUUAAGACACUCGUCAAAUUUGCUCUGAGUGUCUGAUGAUACAACAAUGGUGAAAAAGUCAUCUCCCUCAUUAGAAUUGGGGCUCGAGACCAGUAAAGAAUGGAGAUUAGUAGAUAGAGGAUCGUCAGAAACAGGAGGAGAAGCUCCCUAAGUCGAUUGAGGAGGUACAGUGCUUGUAUUUCCAGAAUUUCGCCCGAGAGGUUUGUUUACUUGUUCAUCCCCUGUAGUUGAUAUCGGGGUAGGGACAGAAAGAGGUGAAGCAGCCUCACUCGGUAAUGGCGUCGGGCUUGCUGUUUCAACAGAUUUUUUCUUUUUCUCUAUCCCUCGUUUCUUCUCAAGACGGGCUUCCCUGCGAAGUUGUCGUUUCAUCUGUGUCUUUGAGAAAUGAGGAAAAGGGGCUCUUUCAGGAGAGGACUGUGAGUUAAAAGAAAAAGAUAAAUAGAUGAAGAAAUAUAAAAUUUGCUUACUGACAACUAACUUGGCGUACCCCGAUAUCAAUUAUUUCGGUCGGGACACAGCUUUGUUCAGUGGCUGAGGAAGGCACAGUAGCUUCCUCUAAAGGAACAUCAGCCGAAGGUAUAUCUUCGGUUCUUAUUUCUGGAAUCGAGGCCGAAGGCAUAUCUUCGGCUUUGUUUUCUAAAAUGUCAGCCGAAGGAGCAUCUUCGGCUUGUCAAAAUUGUCGUUUAGCAACUGAUUUAUGCCGUUUUGAAGACGGCGAAGGAGUAAUUUGUACAGUUUCAAUCGGUCUCUUAUCUGAAGUUGGGACCGAUGAAGGAGUGGGUAUAGACUGACAAUGAAAGUAAAGUGAGUAUUACAAACAUCAAAAUAGGAAGAAUCAAGGGAGGAAUAGAAU